UUUGCUUAAAAUAAAAGGUCCAGCCUGCCCAGUGACACUGUUCAACGGCCGCGGUAUCCUAACCGUGCGAAGGUAGCGUAAUCACUUGUUCUUUAAAUGAGGACUAGUAUGAAAGGCACCACGAGAGUCAUACUGUCUCCUCUUUCCAAUCAGUUAAACUAAUCUCCCCGUGAAGAAGCGAGGAUAACUAUAUAAGACGAGAAGACCCUAUGGAGCUUUAAACGAAUAACACUUGCCCACUUACUCCUUAAAAUUUCAGAAAAAUCUAUUACCUUGGCAUCAUACUUAUAAGUUUUUGAUUGGGGUGAUCACGGAACAAAAAAUAACCUCCGCAAUGAAAGACUCUCCAUAACUAAGUCAAGAACCACAACUCUACACAUCAACAAAUUGACACCAAU
rnacentral:rRNA from 1 species